CAUUUCAUAAUAUUCAAACAGAAAGAUAGUGAGAAAUACUAAAUUGUACUACGAUAUGGGAGUAUGACAGCAAUCAGAAGUAGUAGGAUGACAUUAAGAUUCAGUCACUCAAGGAGGGGACUUAAUCUAUAAUUAUCUAUUUUAACAAGCUGGUACUAAAUAAUCUGAAAGUGGCGUUCUUUGCAGUAUAUUUUAAAAGAAUAUUACCCACAAGUGUACUCCACAGAGCAGCUGCAUUAGCAUCGCCCGUAGCUUGUGAGAAAUGUAAAUUUGUGGCCCCUACCUCAAACCCGGAUCAAUCUCGGAUAAUAAGGAUCAGAAAUCUGUUUUAACAAACCAUCCAGGCCAUUAUCUGUGCUAAAGCUCACGACUCUGUUUGAAGAAAUGCAGGAGAAUUACACAUAAAAUAAUUUCCCUUUAGGUUCACAGAUCUGUGUUCCUUAUGUCUGUUCAGGAUAUACAGUCUCCGAACUGAGGUUUGAUUAGGAAAUUUGAAUUUUUUUUUUCGCAUUCACUUGAAUCCCCAAAACAGUUUUAGCCACGUUUUGCAUUUUAGAAAGAUCACUUAAAUAUGAUAAUCAGAUUAGUAGAUUGAAUCUACCACUCAGCUUUUUAAAGUACUUUAAAAGGGGGCAAACACUCAAAUUAUGACAGCAUAAGACAGAGCUGAUGUGGGAAUGAGACAAGAAGCAAGACUUGAUUUGCUGGAAGUUAGGCUAACGAAGUUGGCAUCACUAUGAAGGACUGGAUGUGGUGGUGGCAGUAGCCAGCAGCGAGAGCUGGUUUCAUCAGGUCUGUAAUUCUCUGCUCACCCUCCCCACCCCAGUCAAAUACUUAAUUUCCUAAUAUAUGAGGAAAACUUACAGCCAAUUGGGAGAACAGGAGAAUCGAUCAUCUUUGAUGUUACCAAUCCUCACAAACAUCUCACUGUUCUCUACAGUCUCAACUCCCAUCUCUGAAAGCCCAGUCCCCAAUCUCCUGCUUUUUCUCCCCUUUUCCCCUGGAUCUUUUUUUUUUUUUUUUCAAUUUCAAAGACCCAGAUUUAUUUUUAAAAAUGAAAUUCCUUUGCUUGGCUUGUCCCUUCUCAUCCUUUUCCUGGAAAAUUAUGCUGUCUUUACUCUUGUUAUCAAUUUCAUUCUUAAUCUUUUAAAAAUUUUAAAGGGGCGCCUGGGUGGCUCAGUUGGUUAAGCAUCGGACUCUUGAUUUUGGCUCAGGUCAUGAUCUCAGGAUCCAGGAUCCAGCCCCGCAUAAGUCUGUGCCCUUGGUUAUUCUCUCCCUCUCCCUCUCCCUCUUCCUUCUUUUUUCCCUCUUCCCUCUCCCUCUCUCCCAGAGAGAGAAUGAGAGGGAGUGUGCACACUUGCUCAGGAGGAGGAUCAGAGGGAGAGAGCUCAAGCAUGCUCCCUGCUGAGCACGAUGCCCUUCCUGGGACUUGAUCCCAUGACCCUGAGGUCAUGACCUGAGCCGAAAUCAAUAUUUGGAGACUGAGUCACCCAGGCAUCCUUUAUCUUUUAGAAUUUGAUGUCAUACAAUUCAUGAAUCUCUAGAUUGAAAAGAAUGAUUAUGCCUGGUUAUGCUUCAAAUUCCCCAAAUAAAGACAUUAAAUAGACACAUAUCUCACAAUCAAAAAUUGUCUACUGAUGAUGAGGGAACCUAAUCCCUACCCAGCAAUGUUCUUCAUCUCUAGACAGUGCUGUCCAUUCUCUAGAUUGAUUUAAAAAUCUAUUUCCCUAUCCGAGGAUACCAGCAUGGAGAAUAAUUAUGACAUAGAGCCAAUGUAGACAUAAACCUGUACUAUUUCUUCUUGCUAAUAAUUUUAGGAUCAUUUAGGACAAACUAAUAUUUUGAUAAUCUAUGAUAGAAGCUCUGUCCUAUCUUUUCUACCUCGAUAUCAGUAACCUGUGAGAGGUCCUGCCGUUUGCAGUUGAAUGAGUUCAGUAUCCUUCCACUUUUUGAUUUGACCCUAGGUUUUAAGUGUUGUCUGGGUGUUUAAGAAGCCUGAAGUCAUCAAGAUAAAACCUAACCUCAAAAAUUGGAAGCCAAGUAACCUGCGGAGAAGGAAUACACAGAAAAUUUUGAUUGAUUUGGUUAGGGCAUAAUUAGGGCAUGGUGCAUAGGCUAGAUUUUUCUGGUUUUCAAAAAUUGAAUUUUGUGUGUGUGUGCUAUUUCAAUUUUCAUCAGCACUCCUGGUUCUAAACACUGAGAUAGAGUCCAUCUAUUCCCUCCCCCACAUGACAGCUCUUUUAUAUAUUUCCAGGGAACUCUUCUGUCCCUGAUGACUUUUUUGUUUUUAUACCUUAAUCCCUUCUUCCUUCAAUGGCUAUUUAAGAGGUAUGGUCUGUAUUUUAAAGUAUGGUACCCAUAACUGCAUGUGAUACUUCUAAUCCAUUUAGGUCUUAUUAGCACAGUUGGGAUAUCUCCUCCCUUGUAAUUAAUAUGUUAAGAGCUAUUUUUAGUAGUCACAUGACAUUGCUGAGUUGAUAUUUAACUAAAAUGAGCUAAAAAUCCUGUCUUUUCUAACUAUGCUGUUUUGCCUUAUCUCUCCUUUUUCACAAAGUUGAGUUGGGUUUUUGGCUCAUAUAUGACACUAUGCCUUAAUCCCUCUUAAUUUUUCUAAAUUCAUUCCUAGUUCCAGCCACUCAGGAUAGUUUUGAUUCCUAAAUCUGGAGUCUCUCAGCUCCUCAUCCACAAAUUUACAAAGUUGCCUUUUGUAAUUUCAUCUAAGUUACUAAUUAAAAUGUCGAAUGGUACUGGGCCAAGGAAAAGUAUGCAAAAAGCCACAGGCCUCCUCCCUUCAACUUGACAAAGAUUAACUAAUUGUCACUAUUUAGGUACAACCAUGCACCUACUCACUAAUGAAUAUAACUGAAAUAUUUUUAAAGUGUUAACAGAUUAUCAUAAAAGACUAUAUAAUCUACAAAUUUAACCAAAAUAUCUCUAUUUCCAGGUCAGUUUUUAAAGCAUUGGUUUAUUAUUUCAUCUAAAAUGUGUGUUUCAACGUAAGCACAGUUUUGUUGGGGGCUUGGGUUACGGUACAUUAAAAUAUU
rnacentral:lncRNA from 1 species